CAUAAUAACUUGAUACAGUUCAGCAAUGGUACACGUUAACGAGUUUAAUUUCGUUUAUUUCACCGGCCAUUUUGUCUUUUGAUGAUCGUUGGCACGAAAGCCGAGUUGAGUGCUAGUGUUAGGUUCUACAAUGAAAACAUCCAUAUGUUUCGUGUUCCUAAGUGCAAUUUUGUUGUCGGGAAUAAUUUGUGGACAAGGCCAUAAGAUUGUCGAGCAUAGACAUGGUCACAGAAAUUACACUCAUAUUUCAAAAGCUCAAUAUCAUCGGAUGUGGCGAAACAUGUGGACCACGAGUAUUUUUGCGAUACUCUUCGCCUCGUUCACUGUGUUAUUGUUGUUGAAACUCUGUCAGGAGAUUGUACGAACCAAAGGGAUUAUCAAUAGGUGUAGUGUACAAUAGUUUG